AGCCUGAGUCUUUAAGGAAGCACUUAGGACCAAGCCAGCCUGCUUCAAAGAACAGAGGAAGGACAGCUGGAGAAGAGAUCACAGGGAGAACCUACUGUGCUUUAAAAUUCUUCAUCCCGUUGAACCUCCACAAAGCCUCUGUGAGGUUAGUGCAGCAAGUUGUUUGAUUUUCGUCUAAAAGAGGAAGAAACUGGAACCAAGACAGGCUGAAACAGUUGCUCCAAAGAUGCACAAUUAGGUAAUG
rnacentral:lncRNA from 1 species